rnacentral:rRNA from 1 species
UACGUAGGGGGCAAGCGUUAUCCGGAAUUAUUGGGCGUAAAGAGUGCGUAGGUGGUUACCUAAGCAGGGGGUGAAAGGCACUGGCUUAACCAAUGUCAGCCCCCUGAACUGGGCUACUUGAGUGCAGGAGAGGAAAGUGGAAUUCCUAGUGUAGCGGUGAAAUGCGUAGAUAUUAGGAGGAACACCAGUGGCGAAGGCGACUUUCUGGACUGUUACUGACACUGAGGCACGAAAGUGUGGGGAGCAAACA